UACGAAGGGGGCUAGCGUUGCUCGGAAUUACUGGGCGUAAAGCGCACGUAGGCGGAUUGUUAAGUCGGGGGUGAAAUCCUGGAGCUCAACUCCAGAACUGCCUUCGAAACUGGCGAUCUUGAGUCCGGGAGAGGUGAGUGGAACUGCGAGUGUAGAGGUGAAAUUCGUAGAUAUUCGCAAGAACACCAGUGGCGAAGGCGGCUCACUGGCCCGGUACUGACGCUGAGAUACGAAAGCGUGGGGAGCAACAGG
rnacentral:rRNA from 1 species